GACAGACCUGCCUUGCCAAAGAGAUUGAUUUUGGUGUUCUGGGUUAAAAUCCAUUUUAGUCUUGGAUGCAGGAGCAGUGAAAGUUAAUUAUUCUUAUUGUUAGCAUAACAGACAGCAGACUGUACUUAAUAUGCCUUAAUUGAGGGAGUCACCUUACACUGAACCUCACUCGCUAAGCAGGGGGUAGUGAUGCUAACUUCAAGAGAAAGUCAGAGGGUGAGUGUGGCAUCUUACCAACACCUGCCUUUAGCAAGAGGAAGCCUUGUUUUUGACUCCUCUAGAUCAGCUCCCUGAAACUAUGAGGCUUUAGCAGCACAAGCAAUACAAUCCAGGCCUUGAUGGCCCUGUGUGGGUAGUGAUAGGCACAUAGUGACCUUCAAGUUUACUGAGCAUUCCCCCUUUCCAAUGAACAUUCAACAGAAUUACCAGGUCUGCUGUUCUCAAAGGAACACUUCACACCAGCUUGUAAGAUUCAACUCAGGACCAGCACUUGCUUAACACCACAGCAUUAGAUAUAUUUAUAGUGAAAACAAGAAUACAUUUAUUAUCAAAGAAUAGAGAUUCAAGUGAUAGUGAGUAAGAACAGUGGAAAGAAGAGGUUACACUCACCUUGUGCAGCAACUGGAGUUCUUUGAGAUAUAUGUCCCUAUGGUUGUUCCACUUCAGGUAUGCUCACACACCAUGCAACUUUAAUCAAAGGUACUUGGUAGUAGUCUCUGUUUGAGCAGUGCAUGCACCUUAUGUAUCCCUGUGCCCCACUCAGAGGCUAUAUAGGGCUGCAUGGGCAAACUGCCCGCAGUUCCUUCUCCAUCGCAAAGUCUCCAGAGGUAACUCCAAAGCAGAAGGGAAGGAGUGCAGGUGGUGAAGCACCCAUAUAGACAUACAUCUUGAAGAGCUCCAGUUACUGUACAAGAAGGUAAUCUAGAAGUAUUGAGAGGGAAGGGUGAGCAGAUGGAAAAUGUCUCUGGACACAUGGAAGGCUGACCCUUUUCCACCUGUGAUGAAUCCAGGGUGUAUGCAUAUAGAAGGCUUCUUGUUGACUGAAGAAGGAAGGCAUUUCCCAGUGAGAAAGGGCCUAACACCUCCCCCACCCCCUCAAGCAAAAGCGUUUACAUUUCCUGUUAACCGUGGAAAAGAGAUCUACUUCUGGAAAUCCCCAAGCCAGAAAGAUUUGAUUGCGAAUCCAGGAAUCUAACUCCCAGCAUAGUUGUGGUAGAGGUGUUAUCUGAGGUCAUUCACUAUCCUGUUUUGUUCCCUGGGAGGUAAACUGCUGAGAUUAGAAUGCAAUUGGCUAUGCACGAGUUCCAGAGCUUCAUCACUUCAGCACAAAGGGAAGGAGAUCUGACCCCUCCUUGUUGAUUGAUAUAAAACAUGCAAGGCUAUGUUGUCUGUCAAGAGCUUUAUGGACCUGUCUCUGAUUAAAAGCAGGAAGUGGAUACAAGGAUUCCUGUCUGCCCUCAGCUUGAGGAGGUUGAUAUGUAGCCAUGCCUCUUAGGCAGACCGUUUGCUCUGAGUGGUGGUGGUCCCUAAAUGCACUCCCGCCCCACCCAGCUCAUCAGGGUUGCAUCUGUUGUUAUGGUGAUGGAAGGAGGAAGUUGAACAAAUAAAAUCCCCAUGCAGACAUUAUCUGGAUCUUUCCACCAAUUGAGAAACUCUCGUGCUUGACAAGGGACCAGCACCAGCUUGUUCAGGCUGUGUUUGUUUGGAGUGUAUAAACAGUCCUGAGCCAGCCCAAAACAUCAAAGGCAGAGCCUGGCAUGUUUUGUCACAAAGGUGCAAGCUGCCGUAUGUGUGAGUAGUUAAAGACAAAUUCUUAUUGAUGUCUGUGGGCUGAUUUGAAUCUUUGAGAUGAGAUUUGUUAACAUUAAGAAUCUGUCAAGGGAAGAUAAAUCUGGGGUGAUACUGCAUCUAAGGAUGCUCCUGUGAACUCUAGUCUUUGUAGCGGCCCGAAAGUGGAUUUCUCAAUGUUGAGCUGCAAACCUAGCUAACACAACAGGGAUCUUAUCUUUAUGACAGCAAAAACCUUAUUAUAAGAUUGGCCCUUGAGUAGCCAGUUAAUCCCCAGGUACUGAAGGUAAGCUGCAACCACUGCCAAUAUGUUCAAGAGCACUCUUGGGGCAAAAGAAAGGCCAAAAUAAAUUACACAAUACUGGAAGUGAUCCUGACCUAUCAAAAACUUCAGGAAUUGUUUGUGAGAUGGAUGAAUUGCAAUAUGAAAAUAGGCAUCAUGAAGAUUGAGGGCUGAAAAACAGUCCCGCAGUUAUAAUGAUGGAAUUAUAACUGUGAGAGACACCAUCCUGAAUUUUUCUGAUUUCACAAAGCUGUUUAGGAGUAUUACAGCCAAAAUCAGUCUCCAUCCCCCAUUCUUCUUCGUGACCAAAAAAUAGUUGGAGUAAAAGCCCCUCUCCCUCUGUGCUGAACUGGAACUGGUUCUACAGCUCCUAUGUGCAGAAUGGAAUUGACUUCCUGCUUUAAAAGGUACUUGUGAGAGGUGUUCCUGAAGCGGGAUGAAGAACAGAGAUAGAGGAGAAGGAGGUAAAAUGGAUGGAGUACCUGUUUUAUAACCUCCAGCACCCAUUUGGCUGACAAUAUUUGCUUCCAUCAGGAUUGAAAGUGGGAGAGACUGUCUCCAAAGGAAGGGAGGUGGGUAGAAUGGUAUAGAUGCAGCUCAGUUUAAUGGAAUUGUUCUGGAUCCUCGACCAGCCUGUCAGAACUGUCAUUUAGAUGAUAAUGGAUGCUCAAUAGUGGACACAGAAGAAGUAGAUGGUCUCCUGCUCUGGAACAUUGAUUUCUUCCAGGAUGGUUCAUAAGGUCUCUGAAACUUUGAGAAUGGAGCGUGGUGGGAUCUUUGGGGAUCUGCUAAAGUUUCAUUUGCUUGUAAGUGUGUACAUCCUAAAGAUGGCUCUGAAAUCCUUAAGGAUAUGCAAGGACUCAUCAUUAGAUUGAGUGAACAGUAUGAGACCAUUGGAGGGAAGUCCUCAACUGUGUUUGGGACCUCCCUUGGGAAUCCGGGCAGCUGGAGCCAGGACAUCUUCUGCAUGACCAUUGUCUUAGAUAUGGAUUGAGCAGCAGUGUUGGUCACAUCCAGCAAGGCCUGUAGUGAUGUUCCAGCUAACAGUUUGCCCUCGUUAAUAGCCUGAAACUGCUCAUGUUGUUCAGAUGGCAGCUGCUCAAUAAAGGUGGUGAACUUGGCAUAAUUUGAGUGGUUGUGUGGUGUCUUCCCAGUAUUGAAGCCAUCUAGUGGUCAACUUGGAUAUAGACUGUACUUAAGAAGACCGUAGGUACUGAUCUCAUAAGGUACCGCUACACUGAAAUAAAAAUCCAUGGCAUAGCUGUGGCUGGCCCAAGUCAGCUGUCUCAACCAACAGAGCUCAAGAGUGGGGCAAAAAAUUGCUAUGUAGAUGUUUGGGCUUGGGCUGGAGCUUGAGCUCUGGGGCCCUCUCACCUGGUAUGGUCCCAAAGCUCAGACUACAGCCCGAGCCUGAACGUUUAAAUAGCAAUUUUACAGCCCCUCAGCCCAACCCUCAUGCGUGAACUGUGUGGUGCUCUCUCAAUGCUGGGGAAGCAACUCUGAUCGAGAUAGAUCAUCACCUGCUGAUGUACAGCACCUCAGAUUAAAGAUGAG